rnacentral:rRNA from 1 species
GACGAACGCUGGCGGCGCGCCUAACACAUGCAAGUCGAACGAAGUUUGCCGGAUUGAUCCUUCGGGUGAUUGAUAGUAAAUUUAGUGGCGGACGGGUGAGUAACACGUGAGCAACCUGCCUUACAGAGGGGGAUAACGUUUGGUAACGAACGCUAAUACCGCAUAACACCUUUGGGGGUACGAUCCCUUCGGGGUCGAAAGGAGCAAUCCGCUGUAAGAUGGCCUCGCGUCCGAUUAGCUAGUUGGUGAGGUAACGGCCCACCAAGGCGACGAUCGGUAGCCGGACUGAGAGGUUGAACGGCCACAUUGGGACUGAGACACGGCCCAG